rnacentral:rRNA from 1 species
UAGGGAAUCUUCCACAAUGGGCGAAAGCCUGAUGGAGCGACGCCGCGUGUGUGAUGAAGGGUUUCGGCUCGUAAAACACUGUUGUAAGAGAAGAAUGACAUUGAGAGUAACUGUUCAAUGUGUGACGGUAUCUUACCAGAAAGGAACGGCUAAAUACGUGCCAG